GGAAUUUUGGACAAUGGGCGCAAGCCUGAUCCAGCCAUGCCGCGUGCGGGAAGAAGGCCUUCGGGUUGUAAACCGCUUUUGUCAGGGAAGAAACGCGCUGGGCUAAUACCUUGGCGUAAUGACGGUACCUGAAGAAUAAGCACCGGCUAACUACGUUCCCGCAGCCGCGGUAAUACGUAGGGUGCGAGCGUUAAUCGGAAUUACUGGGCGUAAAGCGUGCGCAGGCGGCUUUGCAAGACAGAUGUGAAAUCCCCGGGCUCAACCUGGGAACUGCAUUUGUGACUGCAUGGCUGGAGUGCGGCAGAGGGGGAUGGAAUUCCGCGUGUAGCAGUGAAAUGCGUAGAUAUGCGGAGGAACACCGAUGGCGAAGGCAAUCCCCUGGGCCUGCACUGACGCUCAUGCACGAAAGCGUGGGGAGCAA
rnacentral:rRNA from 1 species